rnacentral:rRNA from 1 species
UACGAAGGGGGCUAGCGUUGCUCGGAAUCACUGGGCGUAAAGCGCACGUAGGCGGAUUUCUAAGUUAGGGGUGAAAUCCUGGAGCUCAACUCCAGAACUGCCUUUGAUACUGGGAAUCUUCGAGUCCGGGAGAGGUGAGUGGAACUGCGAGUGUAGAGGUGAAAUUCGUAGAUAUUCGCAAGAACACCAGUGGCGAAGGCGGCUCACUGGCCCAUAACUGACGCUGAGGCACGAAAGCGUGGGGAGCAAACAGG